AAAGGAAUAGACGGGGGCCCGCACAAGCGGAGGAGCAUGUGGUUUAAUUCGAUGAUACGCGAGGAACCUUACCUAGACUUGAACGGAGGAGGAAUAUUAUAGAAAUGUAAUAGCCAGCAAUGGUCUUCUUCGAGGUGCUGCAUGGUUGUCGUCAGCUCGUGCCGUGAGGUGUCAGGUUAAGUCCUAUAACGAGCGCAACCCUUACACUUAGUUGCCAGCAUUUAAGGUGGGGACUCUAAGUGGACUGCCGGCGCAAGCCGUGAGGAAGGUGGGGAUGACGUCAAAUCAGCACGGCCCUUACGUCUAGGGCGACACACGUGCUACAAUGGCCGAUACAGAGGGCAGCUACUUGGUGACAAGAUGCGAAUCUCAAAAGUCGGUCUCAGUUCGGAUUGGAGUCUGCAACUCGACUCCAUGAAGUUGGAUUCGCUAGUAAUCGCGCAUCAGCCAUGGCGCGGUGAAUACGUUCCCGGGCCUUGUACACACCGCCCGU
rnacentral:rRNA from 1 species